CCUACGGGUGACAGCAGUGGGGGAUAUUGUACAAUGGGGGAAACCCUGAUGCAGCGACGCCGCGUGUGGGAAGACGGUCCUCUGGAUUGUAAACCACUGUCCCCAGGGACGAAGAUGACGGUACCUGGGGAGGAAGCUCCGGCGAACUACGUGCCAGCAGCCGCGGUAAUACGUAGGGAGCGAGCGUUGUCCGGAAUUACUGGGUGUAAAGGGAGCGUAGGCGGGACUGCAAGUUGGGUGUCAAAUCUACCGGCUCAACCGGUAGGCGCACUCGAAACUGCAGUUCUUGAGUGAAGUAGAGGCAGGAGGAAUUCCUAGUGUAGCGGUGAAAUGCGUAGAUAUUAGGAGGAACACCAGUGGCGAAGGCGGCCUGCUGGGCUUUUACUGACGCUGAGGCUCGAAAGUGUGGGGAGCGAACAGGAUUAGAUACCCGGGUAGUC
rnacentral:rRNA from 1 species